AGUAAGACACUUAACUCCAGGUUGCUCCGGGGGGAUUGUCCCUGUAAUAAGUGCUCUGUAUAAUACAUUGGUACUCAGAAGGUUGCUGGUUCGAUCCCCACAGUCACCACCAUUGUGUCCUUGAGUAAGACACUUAACUCCAGGUUGCUCCGGGGGGAUUGUCCCUGUAAUAAGUGCACUGUAUAAUACAUUGGUACUCAGAAGGUUGCUGGUUCGAUCCCCACAGUCACCACCAUUGUGUCCUUGAGUAAGACACUUAACUCCAGGUUGCUCCGGGGGGAUUGUCCCUGUAAUAAGUGCUCUGUAUAAUACAUUGGUACUCAGAAGGUUGCUGGUUCGAUCCCCACAGUCACCACCAUUGUGUCCUUGAGUAAGACACUUAACUCCAGGUUGCUCCGGGGGGAUUGUCCCUGUAAUAAGUGCUCUGUAUAAUACAUUGGUACUCAGAAGGUUGCUGGUUCGAUCCCCACAGUCACCACCAUUGUGUCCUUGAGUAAGACACUUAACUCCAGGUUGCUCCGGGGGGAUUGUCCCUGUAAUAAGUGCUCUGUAUAAUACAUUGGUACUCAGAAGGUUGCUGGUUCGACCCCCACAGUCACCACCAUUGUGUCCUUGAGUAAGACACUUAACUCCAGGUUGCUCCGGGGGGAUUGUCCCUGUAAUAAGUGCUCUGUAUAAUACAUUGGUAAUCAGAAGGUUGCUGGUUUGAUCCCCACAGUCACCACCAUUGUGUCCUUGAGUAAGACACUUAA